AACUCCUAGGCUGAAACCCGGCGCUUCCUGGAAAGUUCCCUCCGCGCGGCGCCUUCCCCCGGCCGGAGGUCUGUCGUGUUUCGGGGCCGAGCCUUGCUGGUUUUCUGUCUCUGAGCUUUGCUCGCAGCAGUGACUUGAGCUGCCGGCAUCGGGCGGCCCCUCCAGCGCCGCGACUGCAGUCCGCCGGGCAUUUACGCAGCCGUGUCCCGUGCAGCGACUUCAGCACCCCGGUGGCUGCUUAGGUUAGCGCCGCCUGGUCCCCGCUUCAAGGUGCGGUCAGCCUCGCCUUUCUUCAGUUCCCUCCUCCAGCCUCUGCAUUUCACUCACUCGGUCGUCUUUCCUUUUCCUCCAUCCCAGUCACGUUAUUUUGGGGAGAACUGACCUAAGGUUUCUGAAGGUGUUGGAGGAGGAGGGUCCUUGGAGAGCCGAGGAGCGGGAGACCAUGACUUUCAGAGCUGUCCUCACCGCGCACCCCCAAUCCUUUGUUGAACUGGGAAAUCGGCUGCACCCAGAUACCCUCUGCCUUUAGUUUACAGAUAAGAUGCAGGAUGAAGAGACAAGAACGACUUUAUCCCAGGAAAACAACAACUUGGAAAAAGUUGGAAAAAGAGUUCCUUGGUUGGUUUCCAUGGCUGGGGCUGUUUGGAAUGACCUCCCUCGGGUGCUGGCUCGCCCUCCAGCUACCGUCAGAUUUACAGUUUCACAGAAAUAGUUCCUGUGUUCCAAGUACUGUCCAGAACUGGAAGACAAGUUUUGAAACUCACCUUGUGAGACAGAGACUAAGAGAUAUCUUCCAAGAAAUGAGAUUGGCCAUUAGCAGAAAUGCCAUGACUUGCUAAUGUGUGACUGAUCAGAUUGGACUGUUUACCAAAUCUCAACCCAUGACAAG
rnacentral:lncRNA from 1 species